UGGGGAAUAUUGGACAAUGGGCGCAAGCCUGAUCCAGCCAUGCCGCGUGAGUGAAGAAGGCCCUAGGGUUGUAAAACUCUUUCAGCAGGGAAGAUGAUGACGGUACCUGCAGAAGAAGCCCCGGCCAACUCCGUGCCAGCAGCCGCGGUAAUACGGAGGGGGCAAGCGUUGUUCGGAAUUACUGGGCGUAAAGCGCGCGUAGGCGGUUAGCAUAGUCAGGCGUGAAAUCCCGGGGCUCAACCUCGGAACUGCGCUUGAUACUGGCUAACUAGAGGUCUGGAGAGGGUAGUGGAAUUCCCAGUGUAGAGGUGAAAUUCGUAGAUAUUGGGAAGAACACCAGCGGCGAAGGCGGCUACCUGGACAGAUACUGACGCUGAGGUGCGAAAGCGUGGGGAGCAAACAGG
rnacentral:rRNA from 1 species